ensembl:lncRNA
CUUUUUCUUAUUCCUUUUGUUAAUCUGAGGAGUUGUGGUUAAUUGCUGUUGAUACCAUUAAACCUGGGGAUUUUCCAGUUACUAACUGUUAGCUUCACUGUCACACUGUGGUGUUUUUUAUUGUCUUUGCAAGCCUUUUUUUGCCAUCGCUUUUGAAUGUGUCAUAAACUUGUGCUCUGCUUGUUCAUUGUUCAGUUCUACAAACCAGAUGUGACAGGAAUGUGUACCCUUGUACUACAAGGCCUCAGUUAUAUACAAGUUUACUUUGUAUUUGCAGCACUUCAGGGUUUCCACCAGGAGGAGCGGGAGGCAGCCACCAGGGAGGAUUUGUCCAAUUACCAACGCGAAGAGGAUGUGGGAAUGCUCCAAAUCACAGUUGACUUUGUUCAUCUCCAGCAAUAAAUGAUUUAGCCUCCCUCAGUUACUGGACUCAAGUGGAUGGAUAACAGCUAAACAGGAAAAACAUUAUUUAAUCACUCUUUCAUUUUUUAAAAAUCUUUCUUGUAGUUUCUUUCAAGCUGGGUUUUUUAAAAGUGUGGACGCUGUUUAAUAACUGAUCAUCUGCUCUAAUGUUUUGUUUGCUUUUAAAAAGGCUUUUGACACUAACGUUCCACAUCCUCUCCACCUUGAUCCAGCGUCUACUGACGUCAUUUCUGAGGGAGGUUUUCAUGGAUUGUCUCAAGAGGUUACCUCAAGUACUUUGCCUCCUGUUUGGACUGUUAAUGCUUUACACUUCAAAUCAACGAUGGAUGCUUGGCUUGAGACAGAAAACAAGGGAGUUCCUGCAAGCUUUUAGAGUUUGAAUGUAACUAAAUAAAUAUCUGCACAUGUGGUUUUUAACUAUUACACGUGAACAUUAAUCAUGCUUUGUGACUUUUGACAUGGACACAGUGCCAACGUGUGCAGGCUAAACCUGCUCUCUGCCAUGUUGGUCUCUUCUAAAAAAUCAUGUUGCCAAAGAUGUCCCACUUGCUAUCCUUCUUUCUUCUGCCUCCACCAGCCUUAAUUACAUUUUAAGAUGAGCAACGUCAGUUAUUUUAGAAAGGAGAAAAUAAA